rnacentral:rRNA from 1 species
UAACGCGUGGAUAACCUGCCAUAUACCGGGGGAUAACACUUAGAAAUAGGUGCUAAUACCGCAUAAGCGCACGGCUCCGCAUGGGGCAGUGUGAAAAACUCCGGUGGUAUACGAUGGAUCCGCGUCUGAUUAGCUAGUUGGCGGGGUAACGGCCCACCAAGGCAGCGAUCAGUAGCCGGCCUGAGAGGGUGGACGGCCACAUUGGGACUGAGACACGGCCCAAACUCCUACGGGAGGCAGCAGUGGGGAAUAUUGCACAAUGGGGGAAACCCUGAUGCAGCGACGCCGCGUGAGUGAAGAAGUAUCUCGGUACGUAAAGCUCUAUCAGCAGGGAAGAAAAUGACGGUACCUGACUAAGAAGCCCCGGCUAACUACGUGCCAGCAGCCGCGGUAAUACGUAGGGGGCAAGCGUUAUCCGGAUUUACUGGGUGUAAAGGGAGCGUAGACGGCAGCACAAGUCUGGAGUGAAAUCCCGGGGCUUAACCCCGGAACUGCUUUGGAAACUGUGCGGCUGGAGUGCAGGAGAGGUAAGCGGAAUUCCUAGUGUAGCGGUGAAAUGCGUAGAUAUUAGGAGGAACACCAGUGGCGAAGGCGGCUUACUGGACUGUAACUGACACUGAGGCACGAAAGCGUGGGGAGCAAACAGGAUUAGAUACCCUGGUAGUCCACGCCGUAAACGAUGACUGCUAGGUGU